UACUGAUGUAAAACUGGUUCCCGUUAAAAAAUUAGGAUAUAUCGCCUGUAUAUCUAGGUCACGGUAACAGUUCCGAUGUCGUCUGUUGACAACGUGUGUAAACAACUUCUAAGUUACAGCUCAUCGCUCAGAAGAAAGGAAGGUUUAUCAUAAAGGAUAAAUACAUGCGUUCUUUUAAAAUAAAGAAUAUGAAUAGCUUCAGCCUGAAAGUUCACACAGUAUUGAAUGAUUCUCAACUUAUCAGGUCAUAUGAUAUAAGUUUUCGGAACUGGAAGUUGGAGAAAUUCGGCAUCCGAUCACAGUGAUCUUUCGUAUGACGAAACCUGGAAAGAAGGUCGACGGCUAGCUCUGGCUGAUCACCUACCACAGAAUAUGUUCGUUAAGAGUAAAUCCCCUGCGGAUACUGUCUGUGAACGGAAAUACGAACUUCAAAGCUUGAACCAGGAGGGCAUUUUGUCCAUACCAUAUCGUUGUAGCUGCAGUGCAUGUAACCUGCAUAUCAUACACGUUUAACAGUGUAGAAACGAGGGAAAACAUGGGACUGGUGAAUUUGUUAUCAAUUCAAAAGCUGUACAUGGAAUGAUACAUGCAGGAAUUUGUGCCACACAUUUCAACAAUUUCCUUAAUGGAUUGAAUGUACUUUUUGUGAAUUCAUCAGACAUACUUAAAGAAAAAGGAGAAUGAAACUGGAAAGAAAAUAUUUGCAGUUGCAAAAGAAUCCUGUAAAUAAAUUCAAAACUCAGCAAAAGAAGAAACAGUUUUAAACAUGGUUAAUUUAAUGAAUAAUUGGAAGGUCUCAUUGUCAUCAUUUAACAGCAGGUUAUUAGCAGCAGUUUUUCAGAAAAAUGAAGGAUAGCUGUCAAUGGUAAAUACAUACAUUUUAGGAUAAUUACAUGUAGUUACCUUUGAGAAAAAACUUAGGUUUCAUUUGAGACUUUUUAAUCUGAUAAUGGUGUUUUUCAGGCAUUUACAACAUUUUUUUGUUUGGACAAUAUAUUUAGUCCACUCAACUAUAAAAUGUAGGAUCAUGUAAAUUUGUACACAGAUCUCACUGACCUACAUUUUCCACUUCACUGACUUUGGUAACAUUAAAAAUCCAAUUUCAUAUACAACAAAUGUAUAUCUCAGCAACUAAAAGGUGUCAGAUCAUGCAAACUUAUAUAUACUCUCAGAGUCUCAGUUAGUAACUCAGCUUCCAGACAAAAGAAGGUCACAGUGAUCACAUUUUACACUAUUGAUUUGUACUGUAUUUUAUAUCUUAAAAACA